rnacentral:rRNA from 1 species
CCUACGGGAGGCAGCAGUGGGGAAUUUUGCGCAAUGCUCGUAAGAGUGACGCAGCGACGCCGCGUGAAUGACGAAGGCCUUCGGGUCGUAAAGUUCUUUCGACAGGGAAGAAAAUGCCUAUAAGUAACUGUGUUUGUAUUGCCGUUACCUGUAUAAGCAGCCCCGGCUAACUCCGUGCCAGCAGCCGCGGUAAUCCGGAGGGGGCGUGCGUUGUUCGGAGUGAUUGGGCGUAAAGAGCACGUAGGCGGUGUUGUAAGUCAUUAGUCAAAGACUAGAGCUCAACUUUAGUAAGGCUAGUGAUACUAUAAUACUAGAGUAUCAGAGAGGAUUGCAGAAUUCCUGGUGUAGCGGUGAAAUGCGUAGAUAUCAGGAGGAAUACCGUUAGCGAAGGCGGCAAUCUGGCUGGAAACUGACGCUGAGGUGCGAAAGCGUGGGUAGCAAACAGGAUUAGAUACCCGGGUAGUC